AGUUGUCUGUCAGUUGUUUCUGAUUUGUCAUUUUCUAGCUCAUGUCUGUCACAGGCCAUCCUUCUCAACACAUAAUCCUCAAGUAGGGGUGUAGACAUUCCUGUUUUGUUAGACUAAGCAGGGUGGAGUAAAUCUAAAAUUCACAGAAUGAGUCAUCAUAUAAAUAAUACAUGUUGUCAUUUGCCUCCAUGGCCAUUGUUUAAUCAACAAAAAGCACAAACCUCCACCUCUUAACCAAAGACCAACAAUAAUAAGAAGCUGUCUUUAAUCGGAUGAUAUCCCAUCUUUUAGCCUAUGACAGUUCAUACACCCAACAGGAAUAAACAAUUUAUAGGAUGGUCAAAAUGGAGAUUUGUCAAGGAAAAUGGGCAUAAAACAUGCUGCAAUCAAGUGAUACUCUCAGUUAACUAUGAAUCUACUAAUAAUACUCUACUCUUCAAAUGAAAAAGAAAUAAUAAAACACAUCAGGAACAGCGGACCUCAGACCCAGCAUUUCUCUCCUUGUCUUGGAAUGUUAUUUCCAUAUAGAAAGCUA
rnacentral:lncRNA from 1 species